ACAUAGCAUGUGUACACACAUGGACAUGAGCAUACUUGCACACAGCAAUGCAUUCGAUGGACUGACAUUCGAUAUCCAUUCACCCCACUUUUCUGUGCCUUUGCCCCAUGCUGCAGGGGGUUCUGAGUUAGAGCCAGGGUUCCCCUCACAUAACAAAAUUUACCAUUUUGAAGAUACAAUUCAGUAGUAUUGAGUACAUUCACAAUGUUAAGCAACCAUCGCCUCUAUCCAGUUCCAAAACAUUCUCCUCACCCCAGAAGAAAACCUCAUAUCAAUGAAGCAAUCACUCCCCAUUCCCGCUCCCCUCAGCCUUUGCAACCGCUAAUCUGCUUCCUGUUUCUGUGGGUUUGCCUAUUCUGGAUAUUUUAUAUGAAUGGAAUCAUACACUCUGUGACCUUUUUUGUCUGGCUUCUUUCACUUAGUAUAAUGUUUUUAAGGUUCAUCCAUAUUGCACUACUUCAUUCCUUUCUUUUUUUUUUUAAUUUUUUUUUGAGACAGAGUCUUGCUCUGUUGCCCAGGCUGGAGAGCCGUGGCGCGAUCUCAGCUCACUGCAAGCUCUGCCUCCCGGGUUCACGCCAUUCUCCCGCCUCAGCCUCUGGAGUAGCUGGGACUAUAGGCGCCUGCCACCACACCUGGCUAAUUUUUUGGGUUUUUUUUGUAUUUUCAGUAGAGACGGGGUUUCACCGUGUUAGCCAGGAUGGCCUCGAUCUCCUGACCUCGUGAUCCGCCCACCUCAGCCUCCCAAAGUGCUGAGAUUACAGGCAUGAGCCACUGCGCCCAGCCUACUUCAUUCCUUUCUAUGGCUGCAUAAUAUUCCACUGUAUGAAUAUCCACAUUUUGUUUGUCCAUUCAUCGUCCUUUGAUAAAUUAUUGGGUUGUUUCACUUUUUAACUGUUACGAAAAAUGCUGCUGUACACAUGCAUGCACAGGUUUUUAUUUGAACAUCUGUUUUCAUAUCUCUUGGGUAUACACCUAGGAGUGGUAUCUAAAAUUGUGUUUGUGAAUGUGUGGAUGUCUCACACGGAAAUCAGGCUACACCAUGCCAGUGGCUGCUCAGAGAGGUGCAAGGGAGGACACUGUGACCUCCUUCACCCUGACUCUCCCCUGAGCAGAAAACCAGAAUGUCCACUAGGCAGGUCUCUUCCUGAAUUGGACCACAACAACAAAAUCUUAACUUGGCUUGUGCCUAGGACAGAUCAGCCUGAGCCACGCCCUCAUCUUACUAUACUUACAAGGCUUUUCUGUUCAGAUCACCUAGGAACAUCUGAAUAAGAUGCCACCCCCACUGAGAGUCUUUAGAACUUUCAGUAACCAAGGCAGGACAACUCAUCUACUCCCUAGUAGGAUCUGAACCCUGAAGUGCAAUAGUAACCACAGGCGAGUAAUGGGACUUUGGACAAAUUUCUCAAACAAAGGAGACUCAGUUUCCUGAUCUGUAAAAUGGCAAUGAUAGUGCCUUUUUCAUUCCUUCAUUCAUUCAUCCACUAGCGGUGCGUCACACACCUAUUCUAUAGCAGGCCUUGUUUACACAAGGAUCAGCAGCAGAUGUCACACUUGCCAUUAGGGGGCUGAGAUCUGGUGGAGGAGGUGGACGUAAAUCCAGUAGCCACACAAACGUGUACGUUGUAAAUGUGUCAAGGGCCAUGAUAGAAAGAUAGCCAAUGUCACGCACUUCCGUUAGGGGUGAGCCGAGGUCCAAAGCAGGGGUAUAGAAGUAUCUUGUGAUUUUAAUCUGCAUCUCCUUCAUGACCACUGACGUUGGACACUGUUUCAUAUGCUUAUUGGACUACUGAAUAUCCUUUUUUGCUGUGUGUAAAGUGCCUAUUUAACUCUUUAGCCCAUUUUUAAAUUGGGAGGUUUUUUCCCUGCUGAUUUGUAGCAGAUACAUGGGAAGUGAGUCCUUGGUGGAUAUAUAUUUUGCAAAUAUCUUCUCAUAAUCUCUGUCUUAUCUUUUCACCCUCUUAAUGUUGUCUUCUGAUGAACAGUGAUUCUUAAUUUCAAAGAAGUCUAAUUUUUAACAUUUUCUUUAGUUUUUAAAAUUAUUUAUUAUUAUUAUUAUUAUUUUUGAGAUGGAGUUUCACUCUUGUUGCCCAGGCUGGAGUGCAAUGGCACGAUCUUGGCUCACUGAAACCUCUGCCUCCCAGGUUCAAGCAAUUCUCUUGCCUCAGCCUCCCAAGUAGCUGAGAUUACAGGCACGUGCCACCACACCCAGCUAAAUUUUAUAUUUUUACUAGAGUCGGGGUUUCACCAUGUUGGCCAGACUGAUCUUGAACUCCUGACCGCAGGUGAUCUGCCCGCCUUGGCCUCCCAAAGCACUGGGAUUACAGGCGUGAGCCACCGCACCUGGACUAAAUCUUUUCUUUUAUGACGCUUAUUUUGCCUUUAUUAAGAAAAUUUUGCCCCCUCCAAGGUCGGAUAUUAUUUUAUUUUUUCUUCUGGAAUCUUUAUUGUUUUGUUUUUACGUUUAGGGAUAUGAUUAUGAUGUAUCUCAUUACUUCUUGUUAUAGUGUGAAGUAGAAAUCAAAGUCCAUGUUUUUCCAUAUCGACCCAGCGCUACUUACGGAAAAGACAAUCCCUUCCCUCCCACAGGAGAACUGUCAUCAAUCAGAAAUGCUCACUCUGGAUGCAUUGUGGACGAUGGAUUGGUGGCGGAGUGGAUCCAGGGGAAUGUGUAGAAGAAUAUUGGCAAACCAAGAGGAGAUGAUGGUGGCCUGGAUGAGGGUAGUGGUCGUGGAGGAAGAGGAUGGAGGUGAAAUCAACAGGGCUUGGUGAUGGAUUGGAAAUGAGUGGAGGAUGCUUUGAACUAUAGCCAACAGAAAGCCCUAUUCAAACUGGUUUAAAAAAAUAAAGACUUCACCAAAGGCUGAAGAAACAGACUUUGAGUUGAAGUUUCAGGAAUAACUCCCGGGACUAGGUCAUCAAGAAAACUGCUGUAAUCAGAAAGCCACCGGCUCCAGAAUGCAUCACAGCUACCACCAGGGAGCCGCCAUUAUCAGGAGGCUGCUACUAAUGUGCCACACCAUCACACCACGCCUGCCACAGUCCUUGGCAGCAGAAUAAAUGCGUGUUCAUGUCUUAUUCUUGAUGUCCACUAAGCUAGGAAAACCACAUCUUUACCAACUGUACGACAGAAAAACCAGAUGUCUUCACAACUGUGUUGUUAGCAGAAAUGGCAAAAACAACAGGAAGAUGGCCUUCACCUUCCUUCCAUUUUCUACAUCUUGUGUGACUGAAUCUGAUUGGCUGAGUCUUAAUUGUCAGAGUCCUGGCUGCCAGGGACCCUGGCAUAGCAUGCUAGAAGGAGGUGCUGACCCAAUGUAUCCAUCACAUCACAUCAAACCACACAAAACAGAGUCUCGCUGUGUCACCAGGCUGGAGUGCAGUGGCAUGAUCUUGGCAUCUUGGCUCACUGCAACCUCAACUUCCCAGGUUGGAGCAAUUCUCCUGCCUCAGCCUCCUGAGUAGCUGGGACUACAGGUGUGCACCACGGCACCUGGCUAAUUUUUGUAUUUUCAUGUUGGCCAGGCUGGUCUCUAACUCUUGACCUCAAGUGAUCUACCCACCUUGGCCUCCCAAAGUGCUGGGAUUACAGGCACGAGCUACUGCAUCUGGCCUCUAUUAACCUUUGAGUCUGUCUAAUGACUUGGUAUAGUGUAGGUGCUGAUUAAAUGUUUGUUGUAUGGAUUGAUUAAACAUGUGUUUUGGCUCAUGACCUUGUGUAUCACUUAGGACGCUUUGAAGUAUAGCCAACAGAAAGCCCAAUUCAAAGUGCUUUAAAAAGUAAAGAAAAUUUAUUGAUUCGUGUGACUAAGAAGGUCAGAGGUAGGUCUGGCAUCAGAUGAGACUUGAUUAAGCUGUUUGACAGUGUCACCAAGAGCCUGAUUUCUUGUCAUCUCCCUGUUCUGACAUCUCUGAUGUUGGCUUUAUUUUUCCUCUUCUUAAUUUCAAAUGCAAGACUUUAUGACUAAACCUAUAGACUUAUAACAAACACCACAUACCACAUAUGAUUCUUCAUAAUAAUCACUACCACUAGUUGAGUGACUUCUAAGUUUCAGACACUGUGAUAAGCUCUUUAUGUGACAUGUCUCAUUAAAUCCUCACAUAAUUCUGUUAAGUACGUACUAUACAAUUUUCUCUUUUAUAGGCAAGGGAACUGAGGCUUUAAAGAAUAUUCAUUAUUACAAAAUGCCAGUGUUUUAUCAGGCUUCAGUUCCUCCUUACAGAGGAAGCUACCCAGGAGAGCUAAUGUGUCUAUUAUACAUGUUCAUUCAUUCACUCAUUCAUUUUUUUGACAAGUAUUUCUUUUUUUUUUCUUUUAGUUUUUCAUUUCCAUAGGUUUUUGGGGAGCAGGUAGUAUUUGGUUACAUGAGCAAGUUCUUUCGUGGUGAUUUGUGAGAUUUUGGUGCACCCAUACGUAACCUGAGCAGUAUACGCUGAAUUUAAUU